rnacentral:lncRNA from 1 species
UUGCAGGCCUAUAUUCAGAGUGGAUGAGUGUGUGCUUUAAGGAAUAAUCUCGGCCUAUAAAUAGCGAAUUAUAACAACAGUAUAGUAGUAUAGUAUAGUUACUUGCUGUAAGUAGAUUUCCUGUAGCGUUGGCUGAUAACCGGCCGAUGAUUGCGCAACCAUGUGGUAAAUCGUUUGCUGCCCCCGCCUCGACAGAGAUUAGCCACACCCAAUUGCCUCAACUACCAGGAGCCACUUCUCGCAUCAACCGACAGGACACAUGUCAAUGGUCAAUUUCAAAUCAAGUAAACAGCUCCUGCACAACGCAGCCCUGGCCCACAACAGAGGCACCUGUUGAGCAGCGCACAGGUCCACACAGGAGAGGAGGAGAGGCUAAAUGCUAA